AGAAGUUCCUCCUUCGUUCUUCUCUCUCCUGACGCCUUAUUAAGAAGAUGCCUGCUUCCACUUCCUCCAUGAUUAUAAGUUUCCUGAAGUCUCCCCAGCCAUGUGGAACUGCGAUUGACUCAGACCAAGGCCAUAACUAUGGAUUGAAUGGAUUCUGCUUUCAUCUCUGUAGCUCUGCAUGGUGCUCAGGAGACAGAAAUCACGUGUUCAGUGACAUCUAUAAAAGAUAAGGAAUCUAUUCAUCACCAUGUCUGUAGUUCUCAGUAUACCUUGUAGAUACCGUCUGAUGUGAAGGUUCACAUUGCACAGAUGAGGACGAGAAUUCCUGAGGAGUUAAGAAAUUUGCCAGGGUCACAUGCUAUCUCAUGAAUCAUGGAACAAUCAGCAUUGCAACUUGGAAGUGCCAUGAGUUUCUCAAACUCAGAAUAUCUAAAACCAACUUUACCACCCUUCCCAAUGCCUCCACCCAAAUAAAGAUCCACACCCCUGA